GACGAACGCUGGCGGCGUGCUUAACACAUGCAAGUCGAACGAUGAAGCCGGAGCUUGCUCUGGUGAAUUAGUGGCGAACGGGUGAGUAACACGUGAGUAGCCUGCCCUUGACUCUGGAAUAACUGCGGGAAACUGUAGCUAAUACCGGAUACGACCCUCGGAGGCAUCUCCUGGGGGUGGAAAGAAUUUCGGUCAAGGAUGGACUCGCGGCCUAUCAACUAGUUGGUGAGGUAAAGGCUCACCAAGGCGACGACGGGUAGCCGGCCUGAGAGGGUGACCGGCCACACUGGGACUGAGACACGGCCCAGACUCCUACGGGAGGCAGCAGUGGGGAAUAUUGCACAAUGGGCGCAAGCCUGAUGCAGCAACGCCGCGUGAGGGAUGACGGCCUUCGGGUUGUAAACCUCUUUUAGCAGGGAAGAAGCGAAAGUGACGGUACCUGCAGAAAAAGCACCGGCUAACUACGUGCCAGCAGCCGCAGUAA
rnacentral:rRNA from 1 species